ACGUCUCAUCGUGAAUCAUCGAAUCUUUGAACGCAAAUUGCGCUUUCGAGAUAUCUCGAAAGCACGUUCGUUCGAGCGUCGAACAUACUUCAGUAAAAAAACAUACCCAUGAGGGUUCGGACGACCUCCGAUCCUUCGAAAAGCAUCUUACGAAAAACCGAAGGAAGAACGGAUUUUCCGAACGGGAGAACACGUUCCUUUCGAUAGGCGAUACAAAAGUCUCGAAAGGCAUCCUCUCGUCUCGGCGUCCUUCUCCUACCCUUUUUUCGAAUCAAUACAUCGACCUCGAAUCGAUCGAGAUUACCCGCUGAAUUUAAGCAUAUCAAUAAGCGGAGG
rnacentral:rRNA from 1 species